UCAAUAAGCGGAGGAAAAGAAACUAACAAGGAUUCCCCUAGUAACGGCGAGUGAAGCGGGAAGAGCUCAAAUUUGUAAUCUGACGGUCUCAGGCCGUCCGAGUUGUAGUCUGGAGAAGCGUUUUCCGUGCCGGACCGUGUACAAGUCCCUUGGAACAGGGCGUCGUAGAGGGUGAGAAUCCCGUCUCUGACACGGACCGCCGGUGCUCUGUGAUGCGCUCUCGAAGAGUCGAGUUGUUUGGGAAUGCAGCUCAAAAUGGGUGGUAAAUUCCAUCUAAAGCUAAAUAUUGGCGAAAGACCGAUAGCGAACAAGUACCGUGAGGGAAAGAUGAAAAGCACUUUGGAAAGAGAGUUAAACAGUACGUGAAAUUGUUGAAAGGGAAACGCUUCAAGUCAGUCGCGUCUUCCGAGACUCAGCCGGGUUUUUAACCCGGUGCACUUCUCGGAGUGACGGGCCAGCAUCGAUUUCGAUCGUCGGAGAAAGGCUCUGGGAAUGUGGCACCUCCGGGUGUGUUAUAGCCCUCUGUCGUAUGCGACGGUCGGGAUCGAGGACCGCAGCGCGCCCUUCACCGGGCCGGGGUUCGCCCACGUAACGCGCUUAGGAUGCUGGCGUAAUGGCUUCAA
rnacentral:rRNA from 1 species